rnacentral:rRNA from 1 species
GAUGAACGCUAGCGGGAGGCCUAACACAUGCAAGUCGAACGGGAUUGAGAGCUUGCUCUCAUGAGAGUGGCAGACGGGUGAGUAACGCGUGGGAACCUUCCCAGUGGUGCGGAAUAGCUCAGGGAAACUUGGGGUAAUACCGCAUGAGCCCGAAAAGGGGAAAGAUUUAUCGCCAUUGGAUGGGCCCGCGUAGGAUUAGCUAGUUGGUGAGGUAAUGGCUCACCAAGGCAACGAUCCUUAGCUGGUUUGAGAGAAUGACCAGCCACACUGGGACUGAGACACGGCCCAGACUCCUACGGGAGGCAGCAGUGGGGAAUCUUGGACAAUGGGCGCAAGCCUGAUCCAGCCAUGCCGCGUGAGUGACGAAGGCCUUAGGGUUGUAAAGCUCUUUUAGCGGGGACGAUAAUGACGGU